AGCAGGCAAUCUGCUGGGGCGCAAUGAAAUGGAUAUGGCUAUCGAUUCCUCCUGCCGUGACGAUCAGGCCUUCCCCGGCCAGGGCUUCUGUGGAUGCGCCGAUGGUCAUGCCGGGCGUUACCCCGUCCAUGAUACUCGGGUUGCCCGCUUUGCCGAUGCCCGCGAUUUUCCCGUCUUUGAUUCCGAUAUCCGCUUUGAUGAUACCGGUAUAAUCCAGGAUCAGGGCAUUGGUAAUCACCAGAUCCAGAUCCCCGUCCUUGCUGCAGGUUUUCACAGACUGACCCAUUCCGUCACGGAU
rfam:Clostridium sp. SY8519 DNA, complete genome.